GUCCUAGCCCUAAACGGUGCACGUUUGCUGUGAGAGGAAUCGACCCCUUUCGUGGCGAAGCUAACGCGUUAAACGUGCCGCCUGGGAAGUACGGCCGCAAGGUUAAAACUCAAAGAAAUUGACGGGGGCCUGCACAAGCGGUGGAGUAUGUGGCUUAAUUCGAUGCAACGCGAAGAACCUUACCUGGCCUUGACAUGUAGGUGGUAGAAGCCUGAAAGGGUGACGACCCCGCAAGGGGAGCCUACACAGGUGCUGCAUGGCUGUCGU
rnacentral:rRNA from 1 species